rnacentral:rRNA from 1 species
CGGGGAAUAACCCGUUGAAAGACGGACUAAUACCGCAUAAUACUAAAUUACUGCAUGGUAAUUUAUUUAAACAUUUAUGGCUUACAGAUGGGCAUGCGCAUGAUUAGCUAGUUGGAGAGGUAACGGCUCCCCAAGGCAACGAUCAUUAGGGGUUCUGAGAGGAAGGUCCCCCACACUGGUACUGAGACACGGACCAGACUCCUACGGGAGGCAGCAGUGAGGAAUAUUGGUCAAUGGACGAGAGUCUGAACCAGCCAAGUCGCGUGCGAAGGAAGAAUGUUACCCUAUGGAUUAGUAAACUGUCUUUUGCGAGGGGAAUAAAGUGCAUCACGUGUGAUGUUUUGUAUGUACUCUGCGAAUAAGGAUCGGCUAACUCCGUGCCAGCCGCAGC